AUGCCAUUUACUUAUCUUGUGCCUAUUGACCACAAUCUUACUAAUAAUCUUGUGCCUAUUGACCACAAUCUUACUAAUAAUCUUGUAAAUGGUAUUGCUGAUAAGAUCUUUGACAUACUGCAUCUUUCCAUUACUGAAUUGAUGACACAAAUUUGUAAGGAAGCUCUGGAAGCAGCGAGAGUUCUGAAUCUUAAGAGCAAUAAAUAUUUCUCAGGACCAUAUGGUAUAGACUAA